rnacentral:rRNA from 1 species
UACGUAGGGGGCUAGCGUUGUCCGGAUUUAUUGGGCGUAAAGAGCUCGUAGGUGGUUCGGUAAGUCGGAUGUGAAAUCUCCCGGCUCAACCGGGAGGGUGCGCCGAAAACUGGGAGACUAGAGUGCGGGAUGGGAGAGUAGAAUUCCUGGUGUAGCGGUGAAAUGCGUAGAUAUCAGGAGGAAUACCGGUGGUGCAGACGGCUCUCUGGACCGCAACUGACGCUGAGACACGAAAGCGUGGGUAGCAAACAGG